ACUUCAAGAAAAAGAUGUUCUCCAACCAAAGGUAUAGAAAGUGAAGGAAAUAAUAGGAAAAGGAAAAGAGAUGUACAUACCAGAUCUUGAAGACAACAUUUGUAAUGAUAAUGAUGGCACUAUUACUUUCUUUCCUGAUGUAUUAAUGGAAACCAUGGCUUGAGAGGAGAAAUUAUUGAUUUCAUUAGAAUGUAUGACCCCAAAUAAGUUCUGCCUCGAGUAGGAAAUCCUAUAAAUACAGUGUUCAAAUACCAUGAUGGAUCUAGAAGUUUGAGCGAUGAUCAAAGAGACAGUAUUACUCAGUAUUUAUGUACUUUCCAAGAAAUUCGAUCAUUGUCUCAUAUAGAUAAUGCCAGUCUCGUCCAAAGCCUCAUUGAGUUUACUAUCAAAAGAAAAACAGAAAAUGAUCUUCAUCAGAACAAUGGAAGCCUUUAAUAGUGAUUUAUAGAUGCCAACAAAACUAAAAAGAAAAGGGAGACCCAAAAAAGAGGAAAGAACAAACUUGUUCCUUUCUUUAAGAGAACAGUUGAUGAAAAAGAAAGAGAAAUACUUAAUUGGUUAGGUAGUGUAGAUAGUCUAAUGAAGGCAUCAGGAGGGACAUUACUGGAUGAAGAAGAUUUGGUUGGAUUAUCGGAGGACUCGUUACCUUACUGAAGUUUAGAUGAUUAUGUUGAUUUGACAAUUGUUCAAAAAAAAAUUCACUUCAUCUGCAUGGUUGUUUUUAUUAUCUAUUGUAAAAGAAAAACAACAAAAGGGUAGAUAUAAUUCUUUGUACAUACCGUAAUGUUUUUAUUACUACAGAAAAUGAUGAUGCUGUUGAAUGUGACUUUUCUGUGUUAUGGUGGCAUACAAGUUGUAUUAAA